rnacentral:misc_RNA from 1 species
AAUGAAGUUUUCUUAUAAGGCUGUGGCUUCAAAUAAACCCAAUCACCCAUUGAAAAUUCUCUUUCAGUGAUUCUCUUAUUUGCUUGUUGCUUCAUCUUAUUUUGAGCCACUUGCAAAUUUUCCUUAGGGAUCUUAAUGAGUUGCUGUCUCUCUUUUAAAAGGUAUCCAAUAGAUACUACUAAUGGAAACCCAUGUGGAAUUACAGGCAUAAAUCAUAGAGAAUAACCAUAAAGUGCGUCAAAAGAUGGCACCAUGAUAGGAAG